rnacentral:ncRNA from 1 species
GGCCCGGCUCUUGCUGAAGACAGUUCACCGGUAGCCAACGGCGGUUGCCUCAUAAAACUCCCGACAAAGACGUCGC